rnacentral:tmRNA from 1 species
CCCUUUGAAAUCCCCGAAGCAGGGCCCUAUAUCAGCCUUGUCCCUUCGGGGACUAUGGACAUAAACGCGCUCGUAAUAAGCGGCUCGGACCCGGGGGCGGUACCCGGCGGCUCCACCAAAUAUCCUGUGUUGGAAGGAUCAUGGGGCCGAAAUAGGAUCGACGAACGUCUAAAGGGGUUAGCUUUGUCUCGGCUGUCUGCCACCGUUACCGGCGAAAUCAGUACAAUUGCCAACAACAAUCGUGCUCCGAUGGCUCUGGCAGCGUAAGCUGUCCGAAACAUCGAAACUUAAGCCCUUGGGCCUAGCAGCUUAAGGCGGGGUUCGCAGGUACCUGGCAACAGAAACCUGCACU